GGAGAGGUGUCCGAGUGGUUGAUGGAGCCGGUCUCGAAAACCGGUGUGCCCUUUUUGGGUACCGUGGGUUCAAAUCCCACCCUCUCCG
rnacentral:tRNA from 1 species